rnacentral:rRNA from 1 species
GUCUUUUUGUUUAUAAUUUAAAGUCUUGCCUGCCCACUGAAUAUUUAAAUGGCCGCGGUAUUUUGACCGUGCAAAGGUAGCAUAAUCAUUAGUUUUUUAAUUGAAAGCUGGAAUGAAUGGUAGAAUAAAAGAAAUUCUGUCUCAAAUUAAUUAUUUUAAAAUUUUAUUUUUAAGUUAAAAAGCUUAAAUUUUUUUAAAAGACGAGAAGACCCUAUAGAGUUUAAUAAAGAUUUUAAAUAUUUUAAAAAUGAUUAUAUAUUUAUUUAAAAAAUUUAUUUUAUUGGGGUGAUAGAAAAAUUUAAUUAACUUUUUUUUAUUCAAAACAUUUAUUUAUGAUUAUUUGAUCCAAUAUUUUUGAUUAAAAGAGUAAAUUACCUUAGGGAUAACAGCGUAAUUUUUUCAGAGAGUUCUAAUCGAAGAAAAAGAUUGCGACCUCGAUGUUGGAUUAAAAUUAAUUAUUGGUGUAGAAGCUAAUUUAUUGGGUCUGUUCGACCUUUAAAAUUUUACA